UUUAGUGUUCAAUAGUUGUAACAUGUGUUGCUUGGAUAUUCUAAUUAUGUUGUUGCAGCCGUGUCGGAUUCUUGAAAAAUGUAGUAUCAGUUUUGGAGGAUUCGACACAGUGCGUCAACGUUGUUGGAGAUGUUCCCUAUGUUGCUUGGAUCCUCUAACUAUGUUGUUUCAGCCGUGUCGGAUUCUUGAAAAAUGUAUCAGUUUUUGGAGGAUUCGACACAGUGCGUCAGCAUUGUUGGAGAUGUGCCCUAUGUUGCUUGGAUCCUCUAAUUAUGUUGUUGCAGCCGUGUCGGAUUCUUAAAAAAUGUAGUAUCAGUUUUGGAGGAUCUUGACACAGUGUGGCAACGUUGUUGGAGAAUCCGAGCAGCAUUAUGGCGUACAAUCGAUGUACUCUAUGUUGCUUGGAUCCUCCAAAAUGCAGUCACACUUUUGUAGGAUAACUUUUGGAGGAUCCCUAGCACAUUUCUAUUGUUUGAUAGAUAGCAUAUGUUGCUCGGAUCCUCCAAAAAUGUUGUUCGCAUUGAAACAUUUGACAUGUUGUGAUGGUGUUUUUGGAUGAUCCGAGCAACAUAGAUUGACAAUAUGCGAAUUUCAAUAAAUAUAUGAAUUGUGGCGUUGAACAUAUGCAACCUAUGUUGCUCGGCUCACUCAAAAAUGUUGACAAGGGUGCGACUGACUUUUUUUGGAGGAUCCGAGCAACAUAAGAUGCAACAAGAUAGGGAUUCCAAUUAAUUGGUGAAUUUGUAGUGUUAUAAUAGAUGCAACCUAUGUUGCUUGGCUUCUCCAAGGACGCAUCUAUUUUGGAAGUUCAACGUUUCUGCGACUGUACACCCUUGUGGUGGCGCCUUUCCCGGACCCUGUGCAUAGCAGGAGCUUUAGUGGACCGGGCUGCCCUUUUUAACAUUUCUGCGACGAUAUUUUUGGAGGAUCUGAAGCAACAUAGGAUGCAACAAAAUGAGGAUUUCAUUAAUAUGUGAACUAUAGUACCGUUGAUUAGAUGCAACCUACGUUGCUCGAAUCCUGAGUUGAUUUCUCAAAUAGUCACUCAACGAGAUAAGCAUCCAGUACCCCACGAACUAUGGCCAAAGUUUCUACGACACACUCCAACUUCACAAGCGUCCUAUUGCCCCCCCUAAAUUUUAGCAUAUUUUUAUCACCCUUUUGUGCUGACGUGGCAUCUUUAUUACAUAAAAUGGAGCUCACAUCAAAGGAGCCACGUUAGCUGAAAAGGUUGACAAAUGGUGCCACGUCAGCUAAAAAGGAUGAAAAAAAUACACUAAUAUUUAGUUCGGGGGUGAUAGGGCCCCCGUGAAGUUGGAGUGUGUCGUACCAAAUUUGGUCAUAGUUUAGGGGGGUACGAGAUGCUUUACUCUUCACUCAACUAAUACUUCUGAUAUAAUAAGUAUUCGUUGAGUGGCCGAGAAGUCAACCCCUCGGAUCCUUCAAAAACACAUACGACAUUCUUGGACGAUCGAGCAACACAGGAUGCAACAAGAUGGGGACUUUAAACUAACUUUGUUGAUGUCUUUGGAAUUUGCUGCAGGGGUUUGUUAUUUCAGAUUGGGCAGGUAUUGACAAGCUUACUUAUCCUUGGCAUACAAACUAUACAUAUUCCAUUCUUGAAGGUGUCAAUGCUGGCAUUGACAUGGUUAGUCACUAAACAUCAACAACGAGUUGCGACUCGAUUUACUUGACACAUAAAGAGCUAAUUCCUUCCCGUUUUGUUGUUUAUUUUUAUGUUUUUUGCGGUUGUACUAUUAUCUGUCCUUAGCUGGGGGUCUAUCGGAAACAACCUCUCUACUUUAUCUGAAGUAGUGGUAUGGACUGCAUCCACUUUACCCUCCCCAGACCCCCACUUUAUUGGAAAACACCUGGUAUGUUGUUGUUGUUGUAUAUAGAGCUAAUUCUUGCUGUUUUCUUUGUUAUCUAUUUGCAGGUUAUGUUGCCUUAUAACUAUACAGAAUUCAUUGAUGGUUUAACAUAUUUAGUGAACAACAACUUUGUUUCAAUGACUCGAAUCGAGGAUGCUGUCAAGAGAAUUCUCAGAGUCAAGUUCCAAAUGGGACUUUUCGAGAACCCUCUUGCUGAUUAUAGUUUGACGAAACAUCUUGGAAGCCCGGUGAGUUCAAUUUUUCUGUACGUUCAUACUCUCGUCCUUACCAAAUUGUCUUGUAUUUGUCAUUGCCAUUAACGGAGCUCCAACAUAACGCGGUGGACUUCACCUGUCCAAAUUCUUUGACGUUUAGAAGGGCAAAUGAGAUAACACGUUAUGAAAUCUUGAAUUCGUCUGUGUUGUGUUGCGAUAUUGCAGGAACAUAGAGAAUUGGCAAGAGAAGCAGUAAGGCGGUCGCUUGUUUUGUUAAAGAAUGGCGCGAAUGCAGAUGAGCCGGUUUUGCCACUUCCGAAAAAAGCAACAAGUAUAUUAGUUGCAGGAACCCAUGCUAACAAUAUGGGCUACCAAUGUGGUGGAUGGACCAUUACAUGGCAAGGACUUAGCGGAAACAUAACAAUCGGUACAUUUCUUAUCCCUCGACCUACAAGUAUGUGUCCGAUCCUCCAAAAUUCAUGCUAUUUUUGAGGAUCCGACCUAGGCACAACAUCAUUUUCGGAGAGUCCAAGCAACAUAGCCCUCACCUUAUAUGUCCGAACUUGAGUAGGACGAGUCAGGCUAUGACCUAUUGUUUAACCUAUUUUGACUCGACCACGCUUUUGGUGGUUUAUCUUUGAUUAUUCGCCCAGCUCAUUUUAACCAACUCAAACUCAAUUUAGCCUACCCAUUCGACCUCCUAAGGUAUAAUUCGUUCGAUUGUUCCUAACUUGAGCUUGGACGAGUUGACUUAUAAUCCAUCGCUUAAUCCACCUUAACUUGAUUUAUGGAUUUUUAUUGAGUCAUGAACCGUUUAUUGAUUUGACCAGACAUGCCCUUUGACAAACAACAACAAAAAACCCAGUGUAUUCCCACAAAGUAGAGUCUGGGGAGGGUAAAAUGUACGCAGUCCAUACCGCUACCUCCGAAGAAGUAGAGAGGUUGUUUCCAAUAGACCCCCGAAGUAGAGAGGCCCUUUGACAAAACUACCUAAAAAAGAGUACAACAAUGUUGUAGAUUGAUCAAUUAGCAACUUCUUUUUUGACAGGUACUACAAUCCUCUCAGCCAUAGAGAGCACAGUUGAUCCAGAAACAAAGGUUGUGUAUAAGGAAAAUCCGGAUAGCGAAUUCGUCAAGUCCAACAACUUCUCCUACGCGAUUGUUGUAGUGGGAGAGACGCCAUAUGCGGAAGGUUCAGGCGACAGCCUAAACUUGACAAUCCCAGCGCCCGGUCCAGACAUCAUGACCACGGUUUGUGCCUCGGUGAAAUGUGUCGUCGUGCUUGUCACGGGCCGGCCGGUCGUGAUCCAGCCAUACCUAGCUCAAAUAGAUGCACUUGUAGCAGCUUGGCUACCAGGAACAGAAGGACAAGGUGUAGCUGAUGUACUGUUCGGCGACUACGGUUUCACUGGAAAACUAGCAAGGACUUGGUUCAAGACUGUUGAUCAACUACCUAUGAAUGUUGGUGAUUCACAUUAUGACCCUUUGUUCCCUUUUGGAUUUGGACUCACCACAGAACCUGUCAAGGCCUAAUAAUGAAAAAAACUAUUUUCACACACACAUACACACACACUCAACCAAGAGGUUCAAACAUACAACAUGUUACCAAUUUAUGAUCUGAGUUUAGUGCAAAGAUUGACCAUGUAAAAGAGGCAUUGUUGUCAGAAACUUUGACAAGUGGAGUAAUGGAAAUGGAACUCUUUUUUGGUUAUGUCUCAAUAUCUUUUUGUCAUUUUUGUAUCUUUAAAAAUAGAGAAAAUACUCUAUUACCACCUUGAACUAUACGUGAAAAGGUCGAGACACACCCGAACUUUAGAAGGGUCCUAUUACCCUCUGGACUAAUUAAAAUCGUAUUUUUGACAACCUUAGUGCCUACGUGGCACAUACGUGGCACAACACACUGCAGGGUCCACGUAGGCACACGUGUGUGCCACGUAGGCACUAAGGUUGUCAAAAAUACGGUUUUAAUUAGUUCAGAGGGUAAUAAAACCCUUCUAAAGUUCGGGUGUGUUUCAGCCUUUUCGCGUAUAGUUCAAGGUGGUAAUAGAGCAUUUUCCUUUAAAAAUACAAUCAAACAAAUGGAGCUAUAGUUGCCGAUAGGUGGUCGGUUGAACAUCUUUUUUUGAAAAAUAUACAAUGUGGUUUUCUCGCUCCCUAUGCUAAUACGCGGUGGCAAAUACUCUAUGAAAUAGUCUAGGUGCGCACAAGCGAAUCCGGACACCAAGGUAUUGCAGAUUAUGGUGAUGACACUAUCUGCUUUCUACUUUUGCCUUUUCUUUAGGUCAAGUUUGUAGUAACUGAACUUUGAGUACUAACUAUAAAUUGUAAGUUUGAUAUAACUUAUAAAUAAUGUGGUUUCAUCUUCUUGUAUAUAAUCAGUGUAUAUUUUGUGUAUAUUUCGACCAUAUUGGUAAAUAAGUUUGGUCGAACUGUACGUAUUGGGAACUAUCCCUAUAUCUAACAAGUACAUGAUAUUAUUAUCCCUAUAUCUAACUAUAAGAGUCAAGAACUAUCAUGUUCAGAUGAUGCAAGUUGCGGAUAUGUGGAUAUUGAGAUGGACGUGUGGCUAUACUUGGAGCGAUAAGAUUAAGAAUGAGGAUAUCCGAGCCUAAGUGGGAGUGGCCUUCGUGAUGGACAAGAUGAGGGAACGAGACUUAAGAUGAUUUUGACAUGUGAAGAGGAGAUGCGCAGAUGUCCCAAAGUGGAAGCGCUAGAUGUUGGAUAUAGUGGGUACUAGGCAAGGUACAGGUAGGCUGAAAAAGUAUUGGGGAGAGGUGAUAAAUUAGAGAGGACAUGAUGUAGUUUUAGCUCACCGAGAACAUAGCCUUAGAUAGGACGAUGUGGAGGUCGUGAAUUAUGAUAUUAGCCUUACUUAUAGUAUCUUGCUUUUGAUUUCGCAUGGUUUUGUUGUUGCUAUUGUUUCCUUAUUAAUUGUCGUGUUUCUUCAUGAUUAUUUUUCCUUUUCAUGCCUGAUUUGAUUUGCUCUACUCGAGCCGAAAGUCCUUCGAAAACAAUAUUUCUACCUUCAUAAAAUAGGGAUAAGAUAUACGUAUAAUCUACCGUCCUCGAACCUCACUUGUAAUCUUUGGUCAAAGCUAGCUUGAGAAUCACAUACUUCAAUUGCAAUUUAUGAGAAAAUAAUCAAAUUGGUCCUUAAUGAAUGAACUUUGAUUCCAUUUGGUCCUUCAAAAACUAUAAAAAUGCCAUUACUCUUCAAAAUUAAGAAAAUAAAAAGUGAUAGAAAAAGUCAUCAUUUGCCAGGUAAUUUAGGACAGACAACGUUGAAUUCUUCAAUUCCAACGUUGUCUCCUCAGAAUCUUCAAAGAAACCCCAUUUACCCAAAUCAAAUCCAGGAUACUUGGGUGUCCAAGCUAAUUUUUGCCCACCUUCAUUAAAUCCAGGAUACCUGGGUGUCUGAGCCGGUUUUUGCGCAAUUAGAUUCAGGAUAGCUGGCUGUCCGAGUCAGUUUUCGCAAGCAAAUCCAGCAUAUCUGGGUGUCUGAGCCAGUUUUCAUGCACAUCCAUUAAUUCCAGGUCACCUCCCACCACCAACAGAUAUCGUAAUCUCAAUUAAAUCCAGGAUAUAUACCUAGUGUCUGAGCCAAUUUUCGCGCACCUCAAUUUAAUUCAGGAUACCUAGGUGUCCGAGCCAGUUUUCGCACGCAAAUCCAGGAUAUCUGGGUGUCCAAGCCAGUUUUCACGCACAUUCAUUAAUUCCAGGAUAUCUAUCACCUUCCACCAGCAACAGAUAUCGUAACUCUAUCCACCGAGGCUAGUAUUUUGUUGCUGUUGUUGUUUACAAAGUUUGAAAAUUCAAUGGGAACACCAGAAUUUGCAAAUCUUGGGAAACAUUGUUCGGUUGAGGAUUGUAGGCAGAUUGAUUUCUUGCCUUUCACCUGUGAUUGCUGUCACAAGGUACCAUUUGUGCAUGAUUUAUUGUCCUUUUGUGAAUAUUGUGUUGAUAUAUGCCUUGUUUUUGAGCUUUCUUGAUGUGGGGUGUCAUAAAAUUUCAAUCUAUUUUGUUCCACAGGUUAAAAGAACAUUUUUUGAUGUGCCAUUUUUUUGUUUUAUACAUUGGAUUCUUUAUUUUUGUCAAUGUUGUGUUGAAAUCUUACUUGUUUUUGAGUUUUUGAAUGUGGGGUGUUAUAAAGAUUCAAUCUUUUUGGUCCACAAGGAAAAGAACUUUUUUUUGUAUAGUUGUUUGAUUGUGACGGGUCAAGCCUUGGAAACAGCCUUUGACAAAAAUGCAAGGUAAGGCUGCAUACGAUACACCCUUGUGGUGGGCCCUUCCCUGGACACCACGCAUAGCGGUAGCUUUAUUUAGUUCACCAGGCUGCCCUUUUUUUUUAGUUGUUUGGUUGUGAUGAAGAGGAGCCUUGAUGUAACUGGUAAUGUUGUUGUCAUGUUACGAAUUUGAGCUAUGGAAGCAAUCUCUUGUGAAAAUGCAGGUUAAGGCUGCGUACAAUAGACCCUUUAUGAUCUGGCCGUUUCCCAAAACUUGUCACGGGUACGAACUAUGGAGACAACCUUUUGCAGAAAUGCAGGUUAUGGUUGCGUAAAAUAGACCCUUGUGGUCUGAACGUUUCCCGGAACGUCAUGGGUACGAACUAUGAAAACAACCUUUUGCAGAAAUGCAGGUUAAGGUUGCGUACAAUAGACCCUUGUGAUCCGGCCAUUUCCCAGAACAUGUCACGGGUACGAGCUAUGGAAACAACCUUUUGCAGAAAUGCAGAUUAAGGCGGUGUACAAUAGACCCUUGUGGUUUGGCCAUUUCCCAGAAAACAUGUCACGGGUACGAGCUAUGGAAACAACUUUUUGCAGAAAUGCAGGUUAAGGCUGCGUAUAAUAGACCCUUGAGGUCCAUCCCUUUUCCUAGAACCUGCACAUAGAGGGAGUUUAGUACACCGGGGUGUGCUUUUUAGUUGUUUGGUUGUGAUGUAGUGGGGCUGGAAAUAGGAGAGAAAGAUAAUUUUCUAAUAUUUUUGUGAGGAUUUCUUUUGUGGGUUGGAUUUGGUUCUCUAGGAAAUGUAAAGGAUUGAGUAAUCAAGAAUAUGGCAAAGUCAAAUUGAAGCUACGGAGCCAAGCUAUGGCCGCUAUUAUAUAAUCUUGAGUAUUUUGUGUUUUUCCUCGUUCCCUUUUCCACCUGAAAAAGAACGUUUUUUUGCUGUUGGUUGUUGUGGGUGUGGUAGGGUAAAAAGUUACUUUUUGUUUUUGAGUUUUUGACCUGGGUUUAUAUCAAAGUUUAGAUCUUUUUGGUCCAUAGGAAAAAAGAUGGUGUAGUUGUUUGGUUGUGGUGGGCGGUGGCGUUGGGGUAUUCUGAAGAUUUUGCUUUGCGGGAGAUAUUGGGUUCAAGAAAAUGUGAAGGAUUGUGUAAUCAAGAACAUGACAAAGUUGAGCUGAAGCCUAGGAACCAAACUAUGGCACAUUUUGUUUCAUUUCGAGCAUUUUAUGCUUUUCUUCGUUCCAUAAUAUCUAAGUUCCAUAUCAGUCAAAGUGCAGCAACAAUAUGCUGUUUGACGAGGAAUUAUGUAGCAAUUCAUUAGGUAGAGAUGGAAACAGUUGAAGAUAAACGAUCCUUUUCAUGAGUUAAUGAGAUAUUGAAAUUUGAAUGGCAGUGAUUACGGAGGUGUAUUAUCUAGUAGUUACCACCCUCCACUUCCAACAGUAAGGUUGAGACUUGAGAUUCAAUUAGCAAAGUGGAAAAAGACCAUUUUUCGGCUCCUAGAUAGAAGAGUUCGGGGGUUGGGGUUUACCAUACGUUGAUACCAAAGUAUACAUAAAGAAAGAACUUAAAUCGUUAUAUUGUAUGUAAGCUUGUGAUCAAUUGUACAUACGAUACAAAACAACAACAGAGGAUGAGGUACUGAAUAUCGGACUAUUGGUCUUAGUAUUUCCAUAAUUAUUCUCGUGUAAUGUGCAUCUCGGAGUACCAGUUGUUGAUGUGCUUCACGUGGUUGAUUAAACUUUUACCUCUGUUGUUCCGUCUUUAUUCUGACUUUUAAAGCUAAAUGUUCCUGAACUUGUAACAUGGCGUUCAGACGGAGAUUUCAGGAGUUAUUCUCUCUACUUUUAUGUGAAAGUUGGUUCAGCUGAAUCAACAACUUCUUUAUACGUGGAUUGAAGUCGAUACUUGUGAAGGGAAUGGAUUUCUUCUAUAGGGACUAUCGUUAUUCUCUUGCCUGAUCUAGUCUGGAUUUAAAAAUUUAAACUUCAAUAGCCUGUAUGGGCUCUAUAUAGGCUAGAUCAAUGAUGCAUAGACAGAAUCAAGGUUUUCUUUCAUUUUUAAUAGUCCGACUAGUAUAUAUACUGGUUGCGCUUCUGCUUGUGUUUUAGAAACUUUUUCUCUGCUUUAAAUGACGUUGUUCAUAGGAUAUUGUAUGACUUUAGAAUUGGCAUAAUUUGGUCGUUGAUCAUCUGGAAUGAUCUUUGGUUCUGAAUGUGUUUCAACAUACCAUAACUCCUUGCAGGUGUAUUGUCUAGAUCAUCGGAGCUAUAUUAGACACCAGUGUCCAACAGCUAACAAGAACAAUGUCACGGUGGUCAUUUGCCCGCUCUGUGCAAAAGGUGUACGCCUUAAUCCUAACGAAGACCCAAACAUAACGUGGGAAUCUCAUGUCAACAUGGAGUGUGAUCCAUCGAACUAUGAAAAAGCCACAAAGAAGAAAAAAUGUCCAGUGCCUCGCUGCAAAGAGCUCUUAACUUUCUCCAACACAAUCAAAUGUCGCGAUUGUACUCUUGACCAUUGCUUGAAGCAUCGGUUUGGACCUGAUCACAACUGCCCCGGUCCCAAGAAACCAGAACCGUCAUUCCAAUUUAUGAACUUUCUGAAUGGAAGUAAAGACGAACCCAAGAAAGCUCAGCCAACAUCGUCCUCAAGAUGGACUACGAGUUUACUCAAGGUGGUAUCAUCUGUAAAGGAAAAGUUCAACAGUGAGUUUAACCAAACACAGCAAACCGGGCAAAGCAGCCACGCCACCAACCACGCUGUUACUAACACCAGUCAAGUAGAGCCAUGUCCACAAUGUCAUCUAAGAUUUUCGACAGUCAAAGCUCUCAUUGACCACGUGCAGAAAGUGCACGAGAAGAACGGUGUCAUGAACUUGACAGUCGAUGUCUGUCCGAGAUGUAGUAAAGGUUUUCGAGAUCCUGUAGCCCUUGUGGAACAUGUUGAAAAGGAACAUAAAGGAACUUCAAAGGGUUAAAUUUGGAGGUCCAUGUAAAGAAGCAAAAGUACAUAAUACCUUUUUCUUGUUUGUUACAACAACAAUAACAACGUACCUAGUGUAUUCCCAAUUUCCCAUCAAGUGCGGUCCGGGGAGGAUAAAGUGUACGCAGUCCAUACCACUACUUCAGAUGAAGCAGAGAGGCUGUUUCCGAUAGAUCCCCGGCCUUUUCUUGUUUAUUCUUUUGCAGAAAAAAAGUCUAUUGAAUUUUCAUUGUGAACAUGAGAUUGAUUUUUUUCCCCAAAGUGGAUGUUCUUUCGCAAGGUAAGGCUGCGGAUAUACCCUUGUGGUGGGGCCCUUCCCUAGACACCGCGCUUAGCGGUAGCUUUAGUGCACCGGGCUGCCCUUUAAAGUGGAUGUUCUUUUGGUUUCUUUGUUGUCUUUCACUAUCUUCUGUUUCAAUGAACAUAUCCAUUUGAUUUUGAUAGAUAAGAGCAAGCAGUAUAUCUUAGUGAUACAACAAAUUUUUCUAGAUAAUGGUUAAAAACACACCCGAGCUAUCACAUUUUUGCGAGUUUCACCUCCAAACUAUAGGUUCUUUUUUCGUUACCGUCUAUAUAUUGAAGAUAAUGGUUAAAAACACACAUGAACUAUAGCUUUUCGCGAGUUUCACAACUCAACUAUAGGUUCUUUUUUCGUUACCUGAACUAUCACCGUCUAUAUAUGGAAGAUAAUGGUUCAAAGCACACAUGAACUAUCAGUUGUUUGUGAGUUUUACAUCCCAACUAUAGGUUCUUUUUUUGUUACCUGAACUAUCACUGUCUACAUAUUGAAGAUAAUGGUUAAAAACACACAUGAACUAUCAUUUGUUUGCGAGUCACAUCCUAACUAUAGGUUCUUUUUUUGUUACCUAAACUAUCACCGUCUAUAUAUUGAGGAUAAUGGUUCAAAACACACAUGAACUAUCAGUUGUUUGCGAGUUUUACAUCCCAACUAUAGGUUCUUUUUUCGUUACCUAAACUAUCACCUUCUACAUAUUGAAGAUAAUGGUUAUAAACACACAUGAACUAUCAUUUGUUUGCGAGUCACAUCCCAACUUCGUUACCCGAACUAUCGCCGUCUAUAUAUUGAAACACACCUAGUUGAUCGAGUCGAUGGUGAUAGUUCAGGUAGAAAAAGGGAACAACCAAUAGUUGGCUAGUCCGCGAAAGUCACCGAGCAGGUCAGUCUUUUUAGUUCUCCCAAAUUAGAAUAUCAAAGGAGGAUGCUACAGAUGCUCCGGGCGGACACGACUUCUUCUAAGGCUAAAAGACCACCGGAAGACACCCACACUGGAUGGGCGUGCUUCGACCAUGUCGGUGAAGUGUGUCUUAAUAUAUAGAUGGUGAUAGUUCAAAAAGGAACAACUACAAAUAAGUAGUUUCUAGUAUAAUAAUGUUUUUGGUAAUCCAGGUUUUUCUUAUAAGGCAAGAUAUUAAUUAAGAUUAAUGAUGAGCAAUUAUAUCAUUUAGGUGUUUCUACUUCUAUCAUUAUUGUUAGUACUUUCUAGAAAAAACUAUCCAAAAAUUUUCUUUUAAAAGUUCCUAGAAAUAUAACAUAUUCAGAAUUUGAAUAUUACAAGUCUAUAAUUAGAAAGAGUCAUUUGAAAUGCAUAUUUAACUUGAGAUAAACUUAUAUCAAUCUCAAGUUAAUAUAUACAAUGAAAAUUGGAUUCAUAGGCAGAUAUUUAUAGGUAUUUGGUAAAGUUCUUAAUACAUAUGUAGAAUCUGAAAAAAGUUAUUGAGUUCACGUGAAUCCAUAACUUAUAAGUCAGAUCCGUCCACUUUUAUAUGUAACAUUUUACAAUUACUCAAGUAAUAGAAGAGUUGUAAAGCAACGAUAGGUAUUUGGUAGAGUUCUUAAUACAUAUAUAAAAUUUGGACAGAAGUUAUUGAGUUCACGUGAAUUCGUAACUUAUAAGUCAGAUCCGUCCACUUUUAUAUGUAAGGUUCUACAAUUAUUCAAGUACUAGAAGAGUUGUAAAGCAACGAUAGGCAUUUAUAGAGUUUUUAAUAUAUAUGCAGAAUCUAAACAAAAGUUAUUGAGUUUACGUGAAUCCAUAACUUAUAAGUCAGAUCCAUCCACUUUUAUGUGCAACGUUUACAAUUAUUCAAGUACAAGAAGCGUUGUAAAGCAAUGAUAGGCAUUUAUAGAGUUUUUAAUAUAUAUUCAGAAUCUAAACAAAAGUUAUUGAGUUUACGUGAAUCCAUAACUUAUAAGUCAGAUUCGUCCACUUUUAUAUGCAACGUUUUACAAUUAUUCAAGUACUAGAAGAGUUGUAAAGCAACGAUAGGCAUUUAUAGAGUUUUUAAUAUAUAUGCAGAAUCUAAACAAAAGUUAUUGAGUUCACGUGAAUCCAUAACUUAUAAGCCAGAUUCGUCCACUUUUAUAUGUAACGUUUUACAAUUAUUGAAGUAAUAGAAGAGUUGUAAAGCAACGAUAAGUAUUUGUAGAGUUUUUAAUACAUAUGCAGAAUUUGAACAAAAGUUAUUGAGUUCAUGUGAAUUCAUAACUGAGUACAAUCUUUUUCUAUUUUAUAAUUUCCUUUUUUAAAGCUUAAACAAGAUUUAGUAAUUAGACCACAUAUAUAAAUGAAUAGUUGUAAAUAGAAAAAAUAUAUAUUUUAUAUAAAUAUAAGAUACUUUAAUUAUUGGUCCCCAAUGUUGGUACACACAUAUUGUGACUUGGUUAGGAAGAAUUAGUCAGUAAAAUAAGAAAAAGCAUAUGUCAACAUUGAUAAAUAUUGUGAUUAUGUGAUAGUUAUUAAUGGUCACAUUUGGUGGCUAAAUUAAUUUGGUUCAAUUUGUAAUUAAUUAAAACCUAGUAACAUAGUUAAGUUAGCUAAGUUUGAUUUUACAUUAUUAGUUGAUUUGGUAGUGUAAGUAAUUAAAUUAUUUUUAUAGUAAUGGCAUUGAUUAGUUUGUAUGCUAAUCGAUUAAUUUCACAUGAUAUCUGUUAUCUUUCAUCAGUAUACGUACUGUAUCAAGUAAGGUUCACCGAGAAAUUGAUCGAGGUGAAAGGACAUGGUGUUCUUACAAGUAUUUAGAGUAAAGUAUCUAGUACCCUGAACUAUGACCAAAUUUGCUGCGAUACGUUCCAAUUCCACGGGGACCCUAUUAUCACCUCAACUAAAUUUUAGCAUAUUU
rnacentral:lncRNA from 1 species